rnacentral:rRNA from 1 species
UACGUAGGGAGCGAGCGUUGUCCGGAUUCAUUGGGCGUAAAGCGCUUUAAGGCGGUUCGCUAAGUCGCGUGUGAAACCUCCAGGCUCAACCUGGAGACGCCACGCGAUACUGGCGUGACUAGAGUUCGGUAGGGGAUCACGGAAUUCCUGGUGUAGCGGUGAAAUGCGCAGAUAUCAGGAGGAACACCGGUGGCGAAGGCGGUGAUCUGGGUCGACACUGACGCUGUAGAGCGAAAGCGUGGGGAGCGAACAGG